UACGUAGGGGGCAAGCGUUGUCCGGAUUUAUUGGGCGUAAAGAGCUCGUAGGCGGUCUGUCGCGUCUGCCGUGAAAACCCGAGGCUUAACCUCGGGCUGGCGGUGGAUACGGGCAGACUAGAGGUAGGUAGGGGAGAAUGGAAUUCCUGGUGUAGCGGUGAAAUGCGCAGAUAUCAGGAAGAACACCCGUGGCGAAGGCGGUUCUCUGGGACGGUACUGACGCUGAGACGCGAAAGCGUGGGGAGCGAACAGG
rnacentral:rRNA from 1 species